UCCAGGUUAUCCCUGGCGGUCUCCUGAGAGUGCACACCUUUCGGUGUUAGCAACACAGGACAAGGGUUGCGCUCGUUGCGGGACUUAAGCCAACACCUCACGGCACGAGCUGACGACAGCCAUGCAGCGCCUGUGCUAGCCCCAAAAGGACACGGGCUUUCACCCGCUUUAACUAGCAUGUCAAGCCUAGGUAAGGUUCUUCGCGUUGCAUCGAAUUAAGCCACAUGCUCCGCCGCUUGUGCGGGUCCCCGUCAAUUCCUUUGAGUUUUAGCCUUGCGGCCGUACUCCCCAGGCGGAGUGCUUAAUGCGUUAGCUGCGGCACGGAGAGGGUUGAAGACCUCCCCACACCUAGCGCCCAACGUUUACAGCGUGGACUAC
rnacentral:misc_RNA from 1 species